AGUAAGUUAUUUAAAGCAUGAUAUUUCAUUUUUCAGUUGUUAGGCCAAUAUUUAGAAGUAUUUACCAAUUUCACAUUUCUCUAUUUUGAUACUUAACAAAAGCAUACUCUCUGAGACGAUUGAGGAAAGGAAAUAGAGUAUGUUAGAUAUCCUAGAUUUAAUUUCCUUCUUUCCUUGCAAGCAUGGUAAGGUAACAAGUUGUGAAACAGAAAUGGAUAUUUUUCAUUAUAGCACAUGUAUUUAUUAUGCCAUAUUUUAAAAUACCCAUGUUAAUAUCCUGCAUCCUACUAUGUCAGAAUAGGACUGUCAUUUUCCUUUGCCUUUGUCUCUGCAUCAUCGUGAUGUAGUUUCUUGAUUUUUUUGGUCGCUCAGUUAGGAGUGAUUUUAUUGCUAUAUGUGGUAAUUAUAUUCGCAGUGUACCUGUAUUUAGUGCUAUAUUUGGCCAUGUUGUAUUUAGCCAUUAAAGUUUUAAUUUUAAGGCCUUACUGUCAUUUUUUAAAAAAGAUUUAUUUGUUUAUUUGAG